rnacentral:rRNA from 1 species
CAGUAGCCGCGGUAAUACGGAGGGGGCUAGCGUUGUUCGGAAUUACUGGGCGUAAAGCGUGCGUAGGCGGUUCGUUAAGUCCGAUGUGAAAGCCCUGGGCUCAACCUGGGAACUGCAUUGGAAACUGGCGGGCUGGAGUGCGGUAGAGGGUGGCGGAAUUCCCGGUGUAGCAGUGAAAUGCGUAGAUAUCGGGAGGAACACCCGUGGCGAAGGCGGCCACCUGGACCAGCACUGACGCUGAGGCACGAAAGCGUGGGGAGCAAACAGGAUUAGAUACCCGGGUAGUCCCUGUCUCUUAUAC